GCAAAGUGUGUGUGCAGGAGAGGAGUCGAGCAGAGAGAGCUCCUUUUUCAUGAAACGGGAGUAAAGUCGUGAACUUAGAGGAGAGAAACAAACUAAAGUAUCGAUCAUAUACCACUACCAACGUUUGGCUCGAUAUCUGCAUCGAUCUGCCCACCCUUGUCUCCUGGAUCGUAGCUGAGAUCAGCGUGAACCACGUGGGUCUCUGCUCCCUGAUCUGUUUGCUGUGUUUGGAAAGAGUUCCAGCUUCAUCACGGAGUUUCUCUCGGUUUGUGGGCUCAUCUAAAGCUGAUCAUCAGGAGGAGACGAGCCAUUUAGACUCAGCUCAGCCACUGCAGAGGAAACAAUGACUUCAACCCAAAAGGACCAACAUGGAGCGAGAAGUCAGCGCUCUCAGGAGGCCGACAAACCUCACAGAAGAAAGGGAGAGAAAAAAUACAGCUGUGAUGAGUGUGGGGAGGAUUUUACCCGGGCUGGAAGCUUAAAAACACACCAACUCAUCCACAGUGGAGUUAAAGCUUACAGCUGUGAGUUGUGUGGAAAAUCUUUUACCCAGGCUGGACACUUGAAAAGACACCAGCUCACCCACAGUGGAGUUAAAGCAUACAGUUGUGACUUGUGUCGAAAAUCUUUUAACCAGGCUGGACACUUGAAAAGACACCAACUCAUCCACAGUGGAGUUAAACCGUACACCUGUGACUUGUGUGGAGAGUUUUUUACCCAGACUGGAAGCUUAAAACGACACCAACUCAUCCACAGUGAAGUUAAACCGUACAGUUGUGACCUGUGUGGAAAAUCUUUUACCCUGGCUCAAAGCUUAAAAACACACCAGCUCAUCCACAGUGGAGUUAAAGCGUACAGCUGUGACUUGUGUGGAAAAUCUUUUACCCAGGCUCGACACUUAAAAACACACCAACUGAGCCACAGUGGAGUUAAAGCGUACAGCUGUGAUCAGUGUGGUAAAGCUUUUACUCACAGUAGCCACUUACGGCUUCAUCUAGUUACCCACUCUGGAAUUAAGGCAUACAGCUGUGACAUUUGUGGAAAAACUUUCAGUCGCCAAGGGGACUUAAAUAUCCACCUCCGCAUUCACACUGGACAUGAUGUUUACUGCUGUGAUCAGUGUUGGAAACCGUUUACAACAGAUGCACAGUUACAAAGCCACAUGUUUACCCACACCGAGGAGAGACCUUAUAAAUGUGACCUGUGUGAGAAGACUUUUAAAUCUCCACGUUACCUUAAAGUCCACCAACAGAUCCACACCAGAAAGAAACUCUACAAGUGCAGUUACUGUGAGAAGCAGAGCGACACAGAUGGAUCCAGUUCUCAACCCUGUCGUCACUGUGGAGGUGGGAAAGCGUUUCGUUGUGACCUUUGUGGAAAAACUUUCAAUCAGCAACGAAGCCUAAAAAUGCAUCAGCGUAGACACACUGAAGACAAAAUGAUCUACUGUAAAGAAUGUGGGAGAGGCUUCCCCACUCAAUCUGAUUUUAAACAACAUGAAAUCUUCCACAGUGGGGUUAAAAAGCACGCCUGUAACCAGUGUGCAUACUUCUCCACCUCUGCAGGUCAGCUUAAAAGACAUAAACGAGUCCACACAGGAGAGAAACCAUACAAGUGUAGACACUGUAACAAAAGGUUCUCACAAUCGAGCAGUCGUAACCUUCAUGAACGUACACACAUUGAAGGGAACUUCAGCUGUGACCAGUGUGACAAGAGCUUCAAGAAUCUCAGUUCAUACUCCAAACACAAACGAUCCCAUUCUCAUUAUUCAUUAUCUGCUCUGUGCAAACAGAGUAAGCGUGAUCAUGAAAUCAUUCCUAUUACUGAAUCACAAUGACUCUGCAGAGACAGAAAGAUCCUCUUCUGGUUUCAGGUUCAGACUUAAAAACCUUGAGAUCAGGCUCCACAGAGUUCAGAUGGAAUCUCCUGUAAAGAGUAUCAGCUGAUGUCACACUUGGAUCUCAUAAGGUAGCUCUGAUUUCUGGACAUGCAGUAAAUAAUCCUGAAUCUUAAAUUUGAUAAGCUGCAAGUAUAGAUGUGUACAUCAAGUUUUUGUGUUUUAAUUUUAAUGCAUUUUAUUGCUCUGAAAUGUUAUUCCUGUUUACAUAAUUCCCCCUCAGAAAACAGUAGUGUUUAGUUGUAGUACUUGUAUUAUAAAGUUAUAGAAAUAUCUAUUAAAGCCAGCUGUUAAGUGUCAGUCUUGGUAGCCGGGGAUUGGUCUGCCAGGGCCUCCGCUCCUGGCCACCGCCUGACUCACAUUUCACCCAACCCCUACGGUGCUUCCUGCGGGUGGUGGGCCUGCAGGAAGAUGGGCCCCUGUCCCUUUUUCGGGCUGUGCCCGGCCGGGCCCAAUGGACUAAGGCCCGGCCAGCACACACUCGCCCUCGGGCACCCUCCCCGGGCCUGACUCCAAGGCGUGCCCCCGGUAACCAUAUCCCAGGCAGGGUGAACUGUUCCCUCGAUGGUCUUUUCAUAGGGGUCUUCUGAAUCGCUCUUUGUCUGGUCCCUCACCCAGGACCAAUUUGCAAUGGGAGACCCUACCAGGGGGCAAAAGCCCCCAGACAGCAUAGCCCCUGGGAUCCCUGGGAGACACAAAUCCCUCCACCACGAUAAGGUAGCGAUUCACAGAGAGAAUCAGCACCUCCGAAUCUGAGGCCAUGAGCCUCAGCCGGAAAGGGGUGGAGUGCCCUGGGCGAGGUUUUCCAGGCUUGUCACACCUGGAGGAGGCCCCGGGGCAGACCCAGGACACGCUGGAGAGAUUAUAUCUCUCGGCUGGCCUGGGAUUGCCUUGGUUUUCCCCUGGAUAAGCUGGAGGAGGUGGCUGGGGAGAGGGAGGUCUGGGCUUCACUGCUUGGGCUGCUGCCCCUGCGACCUGGCCCCGGAUAAGCGGAAGAAAACGGAUGGAUGGAUGAUAAGUAAGUGCAGUUUAAAAUUUCAGAGCUGGUUAGAAAUGCACAGCAGCACCGAGCAGUGUUGCACAUAUAUUAAUAAAUAGAAUUUGGCCCAUUUUUCCACUCUAUGUGACUUUGAUAAUCAAAUCACCAGAAUAAAUAAGUGAUUUCAUGAAGCAUUAGUGUGCCAUUUUCAUGUUAUAUUUUCACUAUUCUUUAUAGAGCUCUAUCAUCUUUUCUCUGAUAAUCUCUGUGAUUGGAGAAGGUGACGCUCACUUGAUCUAUGUUGUGCAGAUGAAAAGUGAAAUGACACGUGAAGCUCCUAGUUUGUGGUGGAAAAUCUGAGUGUCAUCCGAUUUAACUCCUAUGACUGUCGUCUGUUCAUGGUCAUGAGGCAUUUUGUGUGUCUUUGUUAUCAGGCAGAUCUGAUCUCAGGAAAUCAGUUUGGUUUCAACACUGUUUAUUUUGAGGGAAUAUUCAGGCAGUUAAAUGUGUUGAUUAAUGAACAAGAGUCUAAAAAUGGGCUAAAGGAGUUCUGAAGUACAAAUAUAUGUGCACUGUGUGUAAUGGGACUUGGCAAGACUUUUAGGUUGAGAGAUUUGCUAAACAUGUCUGGGUGAGUGGCUGUGUUUUCAUCUGCCUGUGGUGUAUCUCCUGGAUCCGGCCUAUGGCAGAGCCCUUCUCGAUUUUUCUCCCAUCGGCACUAAUUAACAGGGCUGCAUUUAAGCCCUCUGUGGCUGUCUGUCCUUCCCCAGCCCAUUAACUACCUGUAAUGGAACCAGUUCUCAUGUUCUUUGUGGGUGUCUAUGCUGUUGAUUGUUAACUCACCCUGUUUUCCUUGUGUCUACAUCUCUUAUAAAACCACUGUUCAGCCUUUCAGCAGCUUGCACCCUUGCUCUGGAUUAGUUGCAGGCUACAGGUAAGAUCAUCCACAUGCUGGUUGAAAUCCCUGAUCGUUAAGAGUUUAUCCAGUUUAAUGCCGGAAGAUGAAAAGUCUGGAAAAACCUGAAUGAAAACACCACCAGGGCUGGGAGGGCUGUAAAUUAAAACACAGUAAAAUAUAUUUGAUGAACCAACCUUAAGUAGUGACUCAAAGGAGUGCAAAGUCUCAGAGUCCAUUGCCCUGCAGGAGAAACUGUCCCACCAAACGCAGAGUCCUGACGAAAUAACAGACGACCGGGCAGAACUCAUUAAGGUGAAACAAUGGGCCUUUCUCAGUUCUCAAGUACGUGAGUCCGUACUCGCGUUCUCGGCAAAUCCGGACUUACCAAGAACACAUGGGAGUACGGACUCGCGAUUUGUACAAUUGGAGCAACAGCGUACUUGAUGAUGUCACAGGUUCGGAGUUCCCUCUUAAUUUAACUGUGAUUAAUAUGUUAUGAAGCUUAACUUUAAUCUCAGCCAAACCGAUUUACUCAAAUAAAACUCUGAAAUGGACCAAACAUUAAGAUUUAGAAGUUAUCUAAGAGAGUUGCAUAUCAUGUUUAACCUGAGUAGCAAAAGGCCGAGGGGGGGUUGAAAACGAUGUGCGGGAGUCUGUUCUCGCCGGGCUCUAGUGAUCCUUGACCUCGCAGUCUGCUAUCAAGCUGGUGGGUAACAGGCAUCUCUGGAAACGUCGAAGCACUUUUGGAAAUAUGGGAUAUCUUGAUAAAUCAAGCAGAUAUUUGAUGUUUACACAACUACAUUCUCUCCUGAAAAUUACUUAAAAGUUUAUUUUGUGACCCAGAAGGAGUAAUAUUUAAAAAAAAUUUAGCCACGCUCCUCCGCCGUUGCCGUGUUUAAAUUUUGGACGAAAUGCAUUCUGGGAUAUUUAGCUGUACCAAGUCCACACAAGUCACCACCAAUGCAUGCUCGAUAAAACGGGCGGAGCGAGAACACAUCUGGGACUUUUUUGCGUUCUCUGCUUGAUGCGCAUGUCACUGUCACUACCCGAUCCGUACCGGAAACCCGAUCGGUGCCACGCAUGUGCGAAAGGCCCAUACUUCCGCUCAUUUUACGAUAGUUACGGGUCAGAGUAUCUGUUAAGAUGUUAACAAUAAUAAGUACCUCUUAAAAUGUUUGCAAUAAUGAAACAUUUCAAUUUAAUGUAGAGAAAAACGAAAAAUAAAAAGAUAGCCACAGAUCAGGACUCCCCGAUCCUUACUGCACAUGUGCAAAGUCAGACCAUAGAAAUCGGGGGCCUUUCUCAAUAUGCGUACUUGUGCGUACUUGCGUUCUCGUGUACUCGUGAUACGUCAUCAGUCGGAGACCAAGUACUGUUCCAAUUUGAAGUACGCAUCAAGCCGAGAACGCGAAGAAGUCCCGGAUGUGUUCUCGCUCCGCCCGUUUUAUCCAGCAUGCAUCGGUGGUGACUUGUGUGGACUUGGUACAGCUAAAUAUCCCAGAAUGCAUUUUGUCCAAAACUCAACAGCGGACUCCCGGCACAUCGUUUUCAACACCCCCCCCCCGCUCGCGGUCUUCUCACUACUCAGGUUAAAGAAACCCCAGCAGCUGUCUAUAGUAUUGAGUAUCCACUAGAAUAGAAAUAAAAGCGUUCUAACAUCUCACCUGCUUGUUUUUAUUAAGGUAUGUACACGUAUGUACACGUAUGUACAUGUACACUAUUUUUAUUAUUAGAGGUUUCACUACCGAGGUUAAAAAUGAUAUAUAAGUCACUUAGAUCACUUCUAAAUGUUAAUGUUUGGUUUAUUUCAGUGUUUUAUUUGUUCCUGAGUAAACCGGUUUGGCUGUGAUUAAAGUUA